UCCCUGGUGGCUCAGACAGUAAAGCAUCUGCCUGCAAUGCAGACAGACCUGGAUUCGAUCCCUGGGUGGGGAA
rnacentral:tRNA from 1 species